GCCUUGCUAGCUCAAUUGGCAGAGCGUGAGACUUUUAAUUUCAAGAUUGCGGGUUUGACCCCUGUAUGAGGCG
rnacentral:tRNA from 1 species